rnacentral:rRNA from 1 species
UACGAAGGGUGCAAGCGUUACUCGGAAUUACUGGGCGUAAAGCGUGCGUAGGUGGUGAGUUAAGUCUGAUGUGAAAUCCCCGGGCUCAACCUGGGAACUGCAUUUGUGACUGCAUCGCUGGAGUGCGGCAGAGGGGGAUGGAAUUCCGCGUGUAGCAGUGAAAUGCGUAGAUAUGCGGAGGAACACCGAUGGCGAAGGCAAUCCCCUGGGCCUGCACUGACGCUCAUGCACGAAAGCGUGGGGAGCAAACAGG